AGACAUUCGAAGAUUUGCCACUUCAAAUCUACAGCUCGAACUUAAGUUAAACAUACUAGAUUUCAUGAAACGAUUUGGUAAAGUUUCAAUAAGAAUUUCAGUCGGAGGAUUCUUCUUUGUAACAAAAAGAUUUCCUCUUAGGAUGGCCAGUUCUCUUCACACCGUGUUCUCAGGGCUCCUGAAAUUGAGAAGUGUGUCCUACGAAGGCAAAAUGUGUAAUGAAAUGUUAAACGAAAAU